rnacentral:rRNA from 1 species
GUGCAGCAGGCGAGAAACCUCCGCAAUGCGGGAAACCGUGACGGGGUCACCCCGAGUGCCACCCGAUGAGGGUGGCUUUUCCCCGGUCUAAAAAGCCGGGGGCAAUAAGCGGGGGGCAAGUCUGGUGUCAGCCGCCGCGGUAAUACCAGCCCCGCGAGUGGUCGGGACGUUUAUUGGGCCUAAAGCGUCCGUAGCCGGCUCGGUAAGUCCCUCCUUAAAUCCACGGGCUCAACCCGUGGGCUGGGAGGGAUACUGCCGGGCUAGGGGGCGGGAGAGGCCGAGGGUACUCCCGGGGUAGGGGCGAAAUCCGUUAAUCCCGGGAGGACCACCAGUGGCGAAGGCGCUCGGCUGGAACGCGCCCGACGGUGAGGGACGAAAGCUAGGGGAGCAAAGGGGAUUAGAUACCCGCGUAGU